rnacentral:rRNA from 1 species
AUUGAACGCUGGCGGCAGGCCUAACACAUGCAAGUCGAGCGGUUGACGGGAGCUUGCUCCCUGAUUCAGCGGCGGACGGGUGAGUAAUGCCUAGGAAUCUGCCUAUUAGUGGGGGACAACGUUUCGAAAGGAACGCUAAUACCACAUACGUCCUACGGGAGAAAGCAGGGGACCUUCGGGCAUUGCGCUAAUAGAUGAGCAUAGGUCGGAUUAGCUUGUUGGUGAGGUAAUGGCUCACCAAGGCGACGAUCCGUAACUGGUCUGAGAGGAUGAUCAGUCACACUGGAACUGAGACACGGUCCAGACUCCUACGGGAGGCAGCAGUGGGGAAUAUUGGACAAUGGGCGAAAGCCUGAUCCAGCCAUGCCGCGUGUGUGAAGAAGGUCUUCGGAUUGUAAAGCACUUUAAGUUGGGAGGAAGGGUUGUAGAUUAAUACUCUGCAAUUUUGACGUUACCGACAGAAUAAGCACCGGCUAACUCUGUGCCAGCAGCCGCAGUAACAC